GGCUCAUAAAUGAUGACAUGAGAGUAGUGGACAGAAGGGAUCUCCAAAAAAAACUAUUCUGAGGCU